CGAUCGCCGAGGGCCUCCGGCUCAAGGGGGCCUCCAAAAGCCAAAAAAUUCAAGUAUACAAAAGUUUUUUCAUUAUAAAAAAUUAUUUUGUUUUACUGUUCCACAGCGACGUAAUACAGCAAAAACAAUUUUAAAUAAACAGUAACCUACUUUUUAUUAAAUUACAGCUAAGGUUAACCUAGGUAUAUUAAAAAAGUAAUAGUAAGUCGCUCGGUGCUCGAAGUACUCGGUCACCCCCCCGCGCGCACCUGCAUGUCGCGUCGUAGCUGUUUGCUGUCAGUUGAAUUGACCUGCUGUCGGUGAGUUGAUGUGCGUUGUGAGUUUGUUUGAAAUUUAAAGGUGAAUUUUUCAGUUUAUAAAAUGAAACGUGUGCACCCAAGUGGUGCAAGUAAAAGAAAAAAGAAGGAGAGGAAAUCUUUCGAAAUAAAACAAAGUUCACAAAGUUUGAAUUUAUGGUUAGCUGGUUCCAGUUCCAAUCCUGAAAACAUUGAAAAAACGCAAACAGGAAACGAAGAUCAAAUUGAGCCUCCUUCAAUCCAAGCAGAGGCUACUGUAGCUACAUCGUCUGGUGGGAGUGAAAAUAAGAGGGAAGAAACUACUACUAGCAAUCAAAAAUUUCUAGACCUAAAUCUAGACCACCCCAAACCGUCGUUGACGCAUUUCGACAGGGAUUCGUCAAUAAGCUCUGACUCUGAUUCAGAAAUCAGCGAUGAAGAAUCUAAACAAGACACGCUUGAUGCUUCUAAGAAAAACCUUGGUUGUUUCAUAUGUCCAAAUGAAAGUGAUCACAUUGGAAUAAAAAAAGCUUUUAUGGAAAAACAUCCAAUCCAAGUUCAUGAGGGAAAAGGAGUUAAACUUCCGUUUGAUCCAUCCAAACUCUACUAUCGUCUUUUGCCGAAUGGAGAAAAAAUACACAGAAAAUGGUUAUCUUAUUCCAUUGAGCUCAACAAAGUAUAUUGUUCUUGUUGUAUGGCUUUCGGAGGCAAGGAUAACAGAGAUUCCACAUUUAUUACUGGACAUGAUGUUACACCAAAACACAUUUAUAAAUCGCUGGAAACUCAUGAAAACUCCCAUUAUCAUGAACUUGCGGCCAAGACAGCUUUUCAAUGCCUAAAAGGUCGUGAUAUUGAGAGUCUUCUAGCGGGACACCAAUCUAAACAACGGGAAAGAGAAGUUCACACAAGAAGAUUAGUUGUUCAUCGUUUGAUUGACAUAGUUUUAUUUCUGGGUAGACAAGGCAUUGCUUACAGAGGGGACAAAGCAGAAGGGGCCUACUCACUUGACUCUGUAGAAAAUCAUGGUAAUUUUCUCGAACUUGUCAUGAUGGUUGCAAACUAUGACGUCAUUUUACAAAACCAUGUGAAACAGUGCAUUGAGGAGAGUAAGAAACAUAAACAAAAAACAAUUGAGAAAAGAAAACUUGUCGGAAAGUCAACCAAAAGACAGUACGGGCGAGGCUCUUUGAUCACAUUUUUGUCCAAAUCGUUUAUAAACAAGUUAAUUAAAACGAUUGCUACAAUUGGACGUAAUAUCAUAUUGAAAGACCUCAAAGAUAGUAUUAUUUACAGCGUGAUGGUAGACUCUACCCAAGAUGUGGCAGUGAUGGACCAAUUAGCUAUAUGCGUACGCUACGUUGUCCAAGGAAAGGUUUAUGAAAGGCUACUAGAGAUGACUGUUAUUGAUGACUCUAGUGGACAAGCAUUGUACGAGCGAAUAACAUCGGAAUUAGCAAAGUACGGAAUUCAAGCAUCAAAUAUAGUUGCGUGUUCAUUCGACGGGGCAAGUAAUAUGAAAGGGUGUUACAAUGGCUUACAGGCUCACUUCAAAAAGGCAAAUGAAAAUAUGAUUUAUACUCACUGUAUGGCUCACGUCUUAAACUUAGUAGUAGCUGACUCGACAGUAAAGUUUCUUCAAGCAGAAAACGUAUUUGGAUUGGUAGAGGAAUCUGCAGUUUUUCUGAGUACAUCUUACAAACGAAUGGCAGUGUGGGAGAAAGAAACAAAAAAACAACAUACCGCCCACGACAAACUUUAUAGACUGCAAAAAAUAGGAGCCACUAGGUGGUGGAGUAAACAUAAGGCUCUGUCAUCGAUAAUUGAUGAAAGUGUUUUAAGGAGCGGGGAAAUUGCCACGGACAAAUUAACUAACGUCAUUACCGUAUUCAAAGAAAUAUCUGAUGGUAAUUUUGAUUGCAAAUCCAGAUAUAUGGCCAGAAAUUUGGCAAGUCAAUGGGCGAAAUUUGAAAACCUAUUUAUUUCAUUCGUUUUACUAGAUAUGUUUCUUGUUAUAACGCCUGUUUCGAAAUAUUUGCAAACUAAAACAUUGGACUACGCUAUUGCUUGGGAUUUGGUUCAAACACUACUUAAACAGAUCAAUGAAAAAAGAAAUGACAAACAUUUUGAAUUUUUGUACACGAAAACAAAAGAGUAUGCGACUGCUGUUAACAGUAAAUUGGAAGAUAGCAAUAUUGAUUUGGAAUUACAAUUGGACUUUACGGAAAGAAGAAUUUCAAAGAAAAAACGAAUGCCUGGGGAACAAUCCAGUGAUGAUGCUCCUGAAAUAUCAGCAGCUCAACAUUUCAAGCAUGUAUUUUUCAAUAUGUUAGACUGUGCUAGAAUAAGCAUAGAAGAAAGAUUUUGCCCCAACAGAGAAAUUUUAGAGGACCUUUCUUGGUUAAAUCCAAGAAAAUUUAAUGACAUAAUGACGACAAAAGACUUUCCGGCUGGAGUCCUCUCUUGUAUCUCAAAACUUUGCAAUGUUGAAAGAAGUAUAUUAUUAAUAGAACUUAAACAAUUUGCAGAUCAGUACAAAAGUUUCAUAAAAGUUGUAAAAACUCAAGAUGAACAGAUCCCAGACGAAGAAUCAAACAAAGCAGAAGAAAUUUUAAAAGACCGUGAACUCGAUUCGGAACCUGAAUCAGAAGAAGACAAUUUUCGUGGUUUCUGCAAUGACAGUAAAAAAUGUUUCAAGUGUUUGU